rnacentral:rRNA from 1 species
GACAGCAGCCGCCGCGGGAAUACGGAGGGUGCAAGCGUUGAUCGGAAUUACUGGGCGUAAAGCGCACGCAGGCGGUCUGUCAAGUCAGAUGUGAAAUCCCCGGGCUUAACCUGGGAACUGCAUUUGAAACUGGCAGGCUAGAGUCUUGUAGAGGGGGGUAGAAUUCCAGGUGUAGCGGUGAAAUGCGUAGAGAUCUGGAGGAAUACCGGUGGCGAAGGCGGCCCCCUGGGCAAAGACUGACGCUCAGGUGCGAAAGCGUGGGGAGCAAACAGGAUUAGAUACCCCUGUAGUCCCUGUCUCUUAUAC